UAUUGCCGUAGAGGCGCAAUCUCGAAGAGUAGCUAUUAUUGGGGUGAUGCCAAAGAAUAAUAGUGAAAGGCGAAGGUUGCCGAAGCACAUUGCCCAUCAACGCAAUUUGCUGGGGUUGUCUCCGAAAGGAACAACACUGCCAUAGUGCUAUGCCCAAAAAGUCAGAAUACAGAGUUUUGAUUGGGUUAUCUUGGCUUGCAUACUUUCAACGACUUGAGGCUCGAACUCAGAGCAUCGUUGUUGCCGCGCCUGCAAACCAAGUUAACCUGCCUCAAGCCGAUUACUGUUACAUUUUUUGGAUAUAUAUUUUUAAACUAUGGAGCGCUACUGUAGGG
rnacentral:ncRNA from 1 species